rnacentral:rRNA from 1 species
GAUGAACGCUGGCGGCGUGCCUAAUACAUGCAAGUCGAGCGAACGGACGAGAAGCUUGCUUCUCUGAUGUUAGCGGCGGACGGGUGAGUAACACGUGGAUAACCUACCUAUAAGACUGGGAUAACUUCGGGAAACCGGAGCUAAUACCGGAUGAUAUUUUGAACUGCAUGGUUCAAAAGUGAAAGACGGUCUUGCUGUCACUUAUAGAUGGAUCCGCGCUGCAUUAGCUAGUUGGUAAGGUAACGGCUUACCAAGGCAACGAUGCAUAGCCGACCUGAGAGGGUGGUCGGCCACACGGGAACUGAGACACGGCACAGACUCCGAGGGGAGGCAGCGGUAGGGAAUCUUCCGCAAGGGGCGAAAGCCGGACGGUGCAACGCGGCGUGAGUGAUGACGGUCUCCGGCUCGUAAAACUCUGUUAUUAGGGAAGAACAUAUGUGUAAGCAACUGUGAACAUCUUGACGGUACCUAAUCAGAAAGCCACGGCUAACUACGUG